GCGUGGGGAGCAAACAGGAUUAGAUACCCUGGUAGUYCACGCUGUAAACGAUGAAUGUUAAAUAUGGGAAGUUUACUUUCUGUAUUACAGSUAACGCGUUAAACAUUCCGCCUGGGGAMUACGGUCGCAAGAUUAAAAMUCAAAGGAAUUGACGGGGACCCGCMCMAGCGGUGGAGCAUGUGGUUUAAUUYGAUGCAACGCGAAAAACCUUACCMCUCCUUGACAUGGAAAUCAUACCUAUUCGAAGGGAUAGGGUCGGUUCGGCCGGAUUUCACACAGGUGUUGCAUGGCUGUYGUCAGCUCGUGUYGUGAGAUGUUGGGUUAAGUCCCGCAACGAGCGUAACCCUCAUCCUUAGUUACCAUCAGGUAAUGCUGGGGACUUUAAGGAAACUGCUAGUGAUAAACUGGAGGAAGGUGGGGAUGAUGUCAAGUCAUCAUGGCCCUUAUGGAGUGGGCUACACACGUGCUACAAUGGUGGCUACAAUGGGSUGCAAAGUCGCGAGGCUAAGCUAAUCCCUUAAAAGCCAUCUCAGUUCGGAUUGUACUCUGCAACUCGAGUGCAUGAAGUUGGAAUCGCUAGUAAUCGUGGAUCAGCAUGCCACGGUGAA
rnacentral:rRNA from 1 species